rnacentral:rRNA from 1 species
AUACGUAGGUGGCAAGCGUUGUCCGGAUUUACUGGGUGUAAAGGGCGCGUAGGCGGGCAGGCAAGUCAGAUGUGAAAUCUCCGGGCUCAACCCGGAAAUUGCAUUUGAAACUGCAGGUCUUGAGUAUCGGAGAGGCAAGCGGAAUUCCUAGUGUAGCGGUGAAAUGCGUAGAUAUUAGGAGGAACACCAGUGGCGAAGGCGGCUUGCUGGACGACAACUGACGCUGAGGCGCGAAAGCGUGGGGAGCAAACAGGAUUAGGUACCCUGGUAGUCCACGCCCUAAACGAUGAAUACUAGGUGUGGGGGGACUGACCCCUUCCGUGCCGGAGUAAACACAAUAAGUAUUCCACCUGGGGAGUACGACCGCAAGGUUGAAACUCAAAUGAAUUGACGGGG